GUUUUCAAUAACCUAUCUAUCCCUAGUUUCGGUUACUAAAGAUAGACAAAUCUAUAUUUUUGUCCUUACUUACGUUCCAAUAACCUAUCGACGGGCAGCAGUUCCUAUCGGAUUUAUCUAUCCAUCGUCGGGAGGACGGAUAGCCUGCUAAAGAUAGAACGCUCAUACAAAUCGUGCUUACUUCCGUUUCAAUAUGAGUUUUAAGUAACUCUCCGGUAGGCGGCGCUAUCUCUAGUAUGGGCAUUCGCUUAUCUGUCAAAAUCGGCCGGUUACAUGUUUAUCUUUCGAAAGUAAAUCGCUAUAAUUUAAUAAUUGUUUCUCUUCAUAUUGGCAUAUUGUAGCAGUGAUGAUAGUGAUAUGGAAUUAUUUCAAAUGAUAAUGGAUUGUGAUGCAGAUAGUGAUAGUGAGGCCGAUAUCAUAUGGUUAGGAAAAUAAAGAUCGUCUGAAUUACAUGGCGAAGAUCAAUAAUUACGAAUUUGACUAUAGAUUUCUGAGCAAAGGUGUUGUGAAUGAAUUGAUUAAUUUAAUGAGACCAUAUUUGAGUGUAACGUCAAAAAGAUUCAAAUAUAGGAGAGCAAUUUAGAAAUAGAAAAAGAGUAUUUUGAAUGUGUAAUUUGUGUGCAAUGCAUCAUUGAUGUUUCAAAAUGUUGUUGCUUGAAGGCCUGGGUCUACUCAUGAUACAACUAUAAUUAACCAUUCCGAUUGAAAAGAUGUAUUGGUGUUUGUAAAAGAAGACUCCCUGUAUAUCAUUGAAAAGUAGAUUAAAACUAGAAAAUAUGCAAGCUGUUAUUAUAGCUGCCAUGCUGCAUAAUAUCGUCAGAAGUAUGAAUUUAGAAGAAUUAGAAUCAGAAAUUUCAGUCGCAGAUACAUUACAGGAAAAUAAUAUAAUUGUUCGUAACAAUUUUUCAAAACCUACAUCUGAAAUACAACUAUGUACUUAUAAAUAAUUGCUUCCAAAGAUAAUUUAUAAAAUAAACUCCAAAGAUAA